UACGGAGGGGGCUAGCGUUGUUCGGAAUCACUGGGCGUAAAGCGCACGUAGGCGGGUCAGCAAGUCAGGGGUGAAAUCCCGAGGCUCAACCUCGGAACUGCCUUUGAAACUGCUGACCUCGAGGUCGAGAGAGGUGAGUGGAAUUCCUAGUGUAGAGGUGAAAUUCGUAGAUAUUAGGAAGAACACCAGUGGCGAAGGCGGCUCACUGGCUCGAUUCUGACGCUGAGGUGCGAAAGCGUGGGGAGCAAACAGG
rnacentral:misc_RNA from 1 species